rnacentral:piRNA from 1 species
UGGAAUUUCUCCCAAAACGAAGUCCAUGU